AACUUUGCGCAGAGGCAAUAUCGUAACCAAUGAGGUUAAUCCGAGGUGCGAUUAUUGCUAGUUGAAAACUUUACCAAUACCCCGCCAUGUGGACGUGAAAUACCGUCCGCUACGGCAAUUUUUGUACGGCUGUAAAGGC
rnacentral:snRNA from 1 species